rnacentral:rRNA from 1 species
CCUACGGGAGGCUGCAGUGAGGAAUAUUGGUCAAUGGGCGCGAGCCUGAACCAGCCACGCAGCGUGAAGGAAGAAUGCUUUCCGGGUUGUAAACUCUUUUUAUAAAGGAGAAAAGUGAGGCACGUGUGUCCUCUUGUACGUACUUUAUGUAUAAGGAACGGCUAACUUCGUGCCAGCAGCCGCGGUAAUACGGAGGAUCCGAGCGUUAUCCGGAUUUAGUGGGGUGAAAGGGAGCGUAGAUGGGUUGUUAAGUCAGAUGUGAAAGGGUGCGGCUCAACCGUAAAAUUGCAAUUGAUACUGGCAGCCUUGAGUGCAGUAGAGGUAAGCGGAAUUCGUGGUGUAGCGGUGAAAUGCGUAGAUAUCAGGAGGAACACCAGUUGCGAAGGCGGCCUACUAGACUGUCACUGACGUUGAUGCUCGAAAGUGUGGGGAGCAAACAGGAUUAGAUACCCGAGUAGUC